CCGCACAAGCGGUGGAGCAUGUGGUUAAUUCGAUGAUACGCGAGGAACCUUACCUGGGCUCAAAUGUAUGUUGACGUAUUCUGAAAGGGAUACUUCUUCGGACAAUAUACAAGGUGCUGCAUGGUUGUCGUCAGCUCGUGCCGUGAGGUGUCGGGUUAAGUCCCAUAACGAGCGCAACCCCUAUCAUUAGUUGCCAUCAGGUCAAGCUGGGGACUCUAAUGAAACUGCCUACGCAAGUAGUGAGGAAGGUGGGGAUGACGUCAAAUCAGCACGGCCCUUACGUCCAGGGCUACACACGUGCUACAAUGGCCGGUACAAAGGGCAGCUACCUGGUGACAGGAUGCUAAUCUCAAAAGCCGGUCUCAGUUCGGAUCGGAGUCUGCAACCCGACUCCGUGAAGCUGGAAUCGCUAGUAAUCGUGAAUCAGAAUGUCACGGUGAAUACGUUCCCGGGCCUU
rnacentral:rRNA from 1 species